rnacentral:rRNA from 1 species
AAUGAACGUUGGCGGCGUGGAUUAGGCAUGCAAGUCGAGCGAGAACCCGCAAGGGGGACAGCGGCAAACGGGGUAGGAAUGAUUGGUGACGUACCCUCGGGACGGGGAUAGCCACGGGAAACUGUGGGUAAUACCCGAUAAUCUCCCAGGUUUGAAGACCUGGGUGCAAAGGUGUGAUUCCACCGGAGGAGCGGCCAAUCUGGUAUUAGCUAGUUGGUAGGGUAACGGCCUACCAAGACUACGAUGCCUAGGGGGUGUGAGAGCAUGGCCCCCACCACUGGGACUGAGAUACUGCCCAGACACCUACGGGUGGCUGCAGUCGAGAAUCUUCGGCGAUGGGCGAAAGCCUGACCGAGCGACGCCGCGUGCGGGAUGAAGGCCUUCGGGUUGUAAACCGCUGUCAGAGGGGAUGAAGUUAUAGGAGGUUCUCCUUCUAUAUUGACAGAGCCUCAGAGGAAGCACGGGCUAAGUAUGUGCCAGCCGCCGCCGUAA